CUGCCGCGCACUCGGGCAGGGCUGCGCCGGGCUCCGCGCCGGGAGCGCUGCCAUGUUCGGCCGCGGCUCCCGCAAGCGGCUCUCCAGCCGCUCGCUGACGGCGUCGGGGGAGCCGGAGCGGGGCCAGCCCUGCAACACCUGCGGGGACCAGUGCCCGGGCUUCGCCCUGCACAAGUGGAGGUGUAUAAAUAAAACAUUUUCACAUUGGGCCCUGUGCAGUUCCAGCCCAGACUUAUUUACUUUCUGCUGAGGUAACUUGGAAGAGACAUGAAUCUUCUAGUGUGACAGGAGAAAUCAGGUGGCAUCAUUAUUGCAUGUUGUGCUCAAAAUGAUCAAAUGCAAUGUUAAUAAAUAUUUUCCUGAGAAAAGUUACAAGUAUUUAAAGAAUAUUUUUAAACAAAGAAGCAUUUGUCUCAUGUACAGCAGAGGGCACUCUGCAUCGCUGCUGCGCUACUCGGCUGCUGCUCCAGCUGCCCGAAGGGGGAAAAAAUCCCUGUGCUUAAAUUAUAGUUUGCAGAAAUGAAAUACUCUGUGUGUGUUUGCUUAUACAGGGGUGUGAGUGUGUAUAUUAAAAGACACAGGGUGGCGUAUAUAUAAAAAUAAUCCCAGCACAUAAUGUAAAACUUAAAUAUUCGUAGUGGUUGCUGAAGUUAGGUGAAGCACAUGUUGUGUUGAUUAAUGCUCUGCCUGCUGUUAUGCUGAGCUUCAGAGGGGACUGAAGUGUGCUGAAAGGAGAAAAUGAAGAGGCCCUGGCUAGUGAAGGGUUGCAAUCUUCAUCUUCUUGAAGGCAUAGAGGCUAGUGACAGCCUAGGAUGCUGGCAACUGCCCGAGCAAAGGAAAGAUCUUGAAAGAUGGAUAAUAUUGGAGGGUGUGGAAUUAAGAGUCCUUCUGUGUAUAAAAGCAGCAGAUCUGGGGGCUUGUGGGUUCUGUGCUGGGGUUUGCAGUGCUGAGAUCUCGUUCCCAGCAGCACCAAAGCUUGUGGAGUUGCGAGGCUCUUGUGAAAAUCCCGGAGAUUGUUUUUAUCCUUACUGUAGGAGUUAUCUGUGCAAGGAAAUUUAAAAUACUGAGGUUUGUGCCUGAAGCAGGAAGCAGCCCUAGCCCCAAGGAUGCUGUGGAAGGGCUGGAUUCUGGCUGGGGUGUUGUUAGUUGGAAGAUGAAGCACCUGCUUGCUGGGGGAGGGACCCCAUCCUUGAGGUACAGAGGUGUGUCCUUCAUGGUCCAGAGAUGAUCACAGAGAUUGGUGCCAUCUCACUUCUUUAAUAAGAUUUUUUUUCCAACAAAAAUGGACUUUUUUCAUUUUUGUUCCCUUCAGCUGAUUAUUCAGACACUGCCAAGGUACUGCCAAGGUGGGUUUCUAGUUUAACUCUUAGUGCACCUUCUUUUCUUAGUGUUUUUCUUUUAAGAGGAAAUAAAGAGCUCCAAAGCCAAGUCCUUGUUCAGCUUUUGGCUGUAUUGUAAUGCUUUUGAAAUAUUCUGGAUAGCUGGAUUUUGUGCCAUGCUUUGGGUGACAAGUUUCUUGGUAAAACCAUGCAAUGCCAUGCUGAAUUUUCAGAUUUUAGUAAUUAAUUCAAGAGGAAUUCAGAUUUCCUCCUGUCUCCCCCAGUGAGCUGCUUGCGUUGGGCUUAAUCUAAAUCUCUCAAAGCAGGGCUCCUGCAAGAGUCUGGAAGUGUCAACGCUGUUGUAUAAAAUAUGGGCCUGGUAACAAGAAUGAGGGGGCAUGUAGUUCAAGAUAACCAGUUUAUGCUAAAUACACAGCUGGGUGGAUUUUUCUAUAGAGAAUCUGUGGCGUAUAAUGAUCAGAGAAAUAUGGAAAUGCCGGAGGGGCUUUAUAAUAAUGGGUGCUAAUUAUGAUGAAAUGGAUUUGGGUGGUAGGGAGUAAUCCAAGAUUACAAUAGUAAGGGGUUUUUUUAAGUAGCUCCUGCUAUUUGGGAGGGCAGCAGAGCUCCUUGUUACAUGGCUUAAAACAAUCUCUUUUAGGAUUGUCACAAGCAGCGUUCGCCCUUGGCUGGUUAUUUCACAAGGGCUUGGUGCAGCUCAGACAUGACAUAUGUGAGUAAUUUCAAGGAUACAAGCUGGCCCACGUGCUGCAAAGCACAUUCUCACUAGGAUAAAGAUGCUGUUAUAUCAUUGUGCCUGGAUAAUUGCUUUCCUGGAGGUGUCACUGGAGCUGGUAUCUGGGAUGGGCUGUUUUGUCCCAUUAUGGUGGUUCCUGGAUGGUGUGGUUUUGGGGCUGUGAGAGCAGGAUGGUGCUGCCAUCACCAGUUAGAUGCUCCUGCCUGUGCUGGUGGGCUGGGAAGUACUGGGAGGAUGCUGCUGGGAAUGAACUGUUGCAGCUCUGGGAUUGGGACCAAAAGCAAGUUGUAACACCACAGCCUGGAGCACAGGAUCCUGGUUCUGGCUACAGGUUUUUGGGCAGGAGCACAUGUGUAAAGCCAGGCACGUAUCUGCUCAUGCUGCUUGGCUUUUCCUUUCUUGUAAGGAUUUGCUGGUCUUUUUUCAGUGCUGACCAUGCCACAAAGCACUGGACUUAGCACACAGAGUGCCUCAGGUACUCAUCUCCUUGGAAAACAGUGGUUGUGAAAUGUUUUGUUGUUGUUAACAGAGAUGUGGCAAUGCAGAGCUUGAAAAGCUGCACUUGAAUUAUCCAGCCUUGUGCUGGAGACCAGCAAGCCUUAUGACUCACCUUAGCCAGAGUCAAUAGAAAUGAAACUAUUUAAAUACACAAUUAAAAUAUGUUGUUAUGUUAGCAUGUGGACCUCCAUGCAAGCUUGCUCUCUAACUAGGUCAAUUAAAGGACCCCCACGGAAGAGAUGUAGGAGGCUGGUUUAAAAAAAAAAUCCCAGUGUUAACUGCUUGUUUGCUGCCAAGUAGAUUUUGGUCUGAAGUGAAAGGCAUAAAGCACCUGGACUUUAUGGGCAGGCUUUGGGGGGACUUAUCUUCACUUUGGGACUCCAAAAUCUUGUAGGCAGUGAGAAGAAAUGGGUUAAAAAGAUGUUGCAUGCUUCCUUUCAGGGGAUGAAAUCCAGCUGGCACACAGUGCCCUAGCCCUGGUAGCAGAGAGGGUUGUUGGCCAUGGCCAGGACGUUGUUGUGGUUCAGCUCCACCAUCUCCCUCAGCUUUUCCAGAUGAUCCAGGAGCUUGAGUAGUUCAUAAAAGGAGUGAGUAGCCAAAUGGACCAAUAAAAGGAGUUUGUGGAAAGGCCCAAUAUAUUUUAUGAAGAAAGAAAUGGAUCCUCUAAUGCGAGGGUUGUGUCUUGUAAAAUUUUGCAGGGCUGCAAGUGCUGUUAAACACUGGCUCCCUGCUCCAGCCACUCCUUGGAGCACACGCAGCAACUGCUGAAACUUUCCUUUUGACCUGAACUCUUCCAAGUUUGGGGUGAAAUCCUGACCUUGGAGAAGUCAUGUCAUGAAUUUCCCAGGGACCAUCAAAGUGGUCAUCAGUACAAGAACUGUGAUCACAGUCCUUGAAUUAAAUUUGUCUGGCCUUGUGGGAUUUUUUUAGGCAAAAUGGAACAAAACUUUACAUCUUCUUAAUGCUCUUUGAUGGCAGCAACAGCAGCUGGAAGGCCAAAAUUUGGCCUGGCCAUGGUUAUUGCUGGGAAAUGCCUUUGUGUGAUCCAGGAAAAAUGAAGCUGUUUGGAAGUGAGCAAUGAGUGAGUUUGCAGAGUGGGAUGCUCUGUGCACACUUGGUGCUUCCAGUGAUGGUAACCCACGGAGUAAAAUUUCAGCCCAGCACAGGGGGCGCACGCAAGGGUGACCAAUGAUUUAAAUCCCAUGUCCCCCAGGCUGCUCAAAGGGUUUGAAGCUGGCUGUGGCACAGGGAGCUGGGGUGCCCUGCCAGCUCAGGUGGCACCAUCCAUAGCUGCAGAGAUCUCAUCUCACCAUGCCACCCUGAAUGCUGUAGGAUGGGGAGGCAGCAAGUGAGGCACAGCAUCACUGGAUGUGGCAUUGAAAGGAUGGGCAGAGAGCUGCAGGAAAGUAGAAAACAAGGAUCUUGCUGCUGAUUCAUUGUUUUCUGUGUCUGCAGCUUCGAUCUUGAUGCUAGCCAACCUGUGAGAUUUUCAGCUAAACCUUUUUUAGUAUUCUCCUUAUGUAGUUUGAAUUUAUUCCAAUGGACUGCAGUGAUGUGGUGGUGUUCAAGUCAGGCUUGAGUUUCUUAACUGAUAAAAAUUUGAUGACAUUUCUUCUGUCUUGGCCCCAAGGAGCAAAGCUUCAGAGCUCAACCAAUCUUACAAGAUUCCUGUCCUUUUGAUCCAACACCUUCUGAGAAUUGUUUCUGCUGCACCCAGACUUUAAAAUAGGACAAAUUCCCAAUAUCCAGCCUGCAAAUUCCCAAUUUCCAACCUGUAAUUAAAGUUUGGCUUCUAAACCAAUGUCUUUGGUCCAAAAUGCUGAGCAGAGACAAAUUUUGGGUUGUGUCCCUCUGCAAAACAACCACAGAGAUGAUGCCUGCAGGUGUGUGGCCUUUCACUGAGCCAGAGAUGGGGUGACCCCAACUGCAACCUAAGAGAAGAGUCCAGAUUUCAAGGGAAUGGCAUUACAUUUCUCAGUCACUGGAAGUCUUUACAGUCAAGGAGGGAUUACCUUUGGAGAGGAUUUGGUCAUUCCCAGUUCUGGAGAACUGGCUUUGCUGAGAUCUCCUCACUAGAAAUGCUCAGCUCCCCUUCAGCUUUAUGGGAACACAGAAGUGUCUCCUCUGGUAGACAGAGAUGCUCAAGAAAAGGGGCUGUGGGACUGAAUGAAGUUGCCAUGCUUUUGGCUACCAGGCCCCUUCCCGUGAGCCUUCUCAAAGGCAAAGGUUGGGUUUUUCUGCUGGAGCUUGGCUGCUGCUCUCACUUUCCCCACAGCCACCUCUUGAGGGGAUCAGUGGUUGGUUUUGGCAGGAACUGCUUUAUUUUGUGCUUGGAAACACAGUGAUCUCAGCUGUGUGCAGGUCUGCGUGAGGCUGGGUAUUAGAGCUGCUUUGAUGUCUGCACUGAUACAUCUUAAAGCAGCUCAGGAUGGUUUUAUGCAGUAGCCCUAAGGUGCUUGCACAGAAAAAGGUGCUUUAGAAAUGUAAAUUCUGUUUGAGGACAGGUUUUUCUCUGCUGUUCUCUCUCAAUUCAGGAUGAGGUGGUAAAAAUGUAGCAUUUAAUUAAAGUUUGUAAAGGUUUGGAAAUGCAUUGCCAUAAACAUAAAGGAUGUAAUCAAAUGUCUGCCUAAUCCCCACCUUAAGGGCACAUUAAAUGCAGAUAGAGUAUAAUAUGUUAGAGACCAGGAUUGAAAAGCGAUGAGGAUUUGGGAGCAGAUCUUUCUUACCUGAAGCUUAUAAAUUAUUUUACUUCAGGCUUAGGGAUUUAGACAUCUACGUACAAUAGAAAGCCACGUAGCAGCCAAAUUCUCAGCCAGCACAGCUGGCAUCAUUCUACUGAGUCAUUUCAGCUACAAAUCCUUAGGGCACAGCCCUGUGACGUGGUUACAGCGCACUGUCCUGACGGAGUGUGGCAUGAGAAUCAUUCCUCACUUCAUCACCGAGUAGGGGGCUGCUUCUCUGAACUCAGUAGGGGAUUAGAUAAAAGCACCUAACAGGUUUUCAUUGUUGGAAUACAGCAGCAUAAAGAAGGGAAUGUGGCAUUGCACAGUGUCAGCUGGGGAGCGCAAAGCAGGCCGCGGCACCCUGAAGGCGCCCUGGCCUGGAAAAAGCCCUUUGCCCAGAGGGCCCCUCGCGUCCCUCUUCGGCUCCUGUGCCUCGCCGUUCCGCUCUUGAUCUCGAAGGCGCUGCCGCUCUUGCCUCGUCGUCCCACGGCUUCUGCCAACGGACGACGACACGCUCAGGCCCCAGAAACUCCAGACCCCGUGCCUGCAGGGAACCGCCACCCAACAGCCCCACAGGGACAUCCCCAACCGGCUGCCCAAAAGCCCCCCACUUCAGCUCCAAGCUGCUGCUCUUACCUUGCGGCUGCGCUUCUGGGCUCGAGGCCGCCAAUGCUGAAGGCCGGCUCUUGCCUCGCCGAUCCACUCUUGAGCUCGAAGAGGCCGCUCCUGCGGCUCGCUCUUUCCUCGCUGUCCCACGGCUUCUGCAAACGUCGACGAGGACACAAUCAGGCCCGAGGAGCUCCAGCUGCCAUAGGGAAGUGCCACCCAACAGCCCCACAGCCUCAUGCC